rnacentral:rRNA from 1 species
ACUAAACCUAGCCCAAAACUUAAUCAAUAAAAUUACUACAUGACUAAUUAAUCAAAACAUUUAAUUAUAUAAUAAAGUAUAGGAGAUAGAAAUAUUAUUUGGAGCUAUAGAGAAAGUACCGCAAGGGAACGAUGAAAGAACAAUUCAAAGUACCAAAUAGCAAAGAUUAACCCUUCUACCUUUUGCAUAAUGAGCUAGCUAGAACAAUUUAACAAAGAGAACUUAAGCUAAACACCCCGAAACCAGACGAGCUACCUAUGAACAAUUUACCAGAAUGAACUCAUCUAUGUAGCAAAAUAGUGAGAAGAUUUAUAGGUAGAGGUGAAAAGCCUAACGAGCCUGGUGAUAGCUGGUUGCCCAGAAUAGAAUUUUAGUUCAACUUUAAAUUUACCAAAUAAACCUAUAAAUUUAAAUGUAAAUUUAAAAUAUAAUCUAAAAAGGUACAGCUUUUUAGAUAAAGGAUACAACCUUGCCUAGAGAGUAAAACAUAUUAAUAAACCAUAGUAGGCCUAAAAGCAGCCAUCAAUUAAGAAAGCGUUCAAGCUCAACAAUAAAAUCCUCACUAAUACCAAAAAUCUAUAUAAACUCCUAGUAUACUACUGGGCUAAUCUAUAUAAAUAUAGAAGCAACAAUGCUAGUAUGAGUAACAAGAAAUACUUCUCCUUGCAUAAGCUUAUAACAGUAACGGAUAACCACUGAUAGUUAACAACAAGAUAAAUAUAAUCCACUAAUAAAUUAAUCUUAUCAAACCAAUUGUUAGUCCAACACAGGAAUGCAACUCAAGGAAAGAUUAAAAGAAGUAAAAGGAACUCGGCAAACAUAAACCCCGCCUGUUUACCAAAAACAUCACCUCUAGCAUACUAAGUAUUGGAGGCACUGCCUGCCCAGUGACAUUAGUUAAACGGCCGCGGUAUUCUGACCGUGCAAAGGUAGCAUAAUCAUUUGUUCUCUAAAUAAGGACUCGUAUGAAUGGCCACACGAGGGUUUGACUGUCUCUUACUUCCAAUCAGUGAAAUUGACCUCCCCGUGAAGAGGCGGGGAUAAACUAAUAAGACGAGAAGACCCUAUGGAGCUUUAAUUAAUCAACUCAUAAUAAUAUUACAUAUAAAUCCAACAGGCAUAACAUUACAUUAUUAAUGAGUUAACAAUUUAGGUUGGGGUGACCUCGGAGCAAAAAACAACCUCCGAGAAAAAAAAUCAAGACUCACCAGUCAAAAUACUAUACUACUUAUUGAUCCAAAACAAUUUGAUCAACGGAACAAGUUACCCUAGGGAUAACAGCGCAAUCCUAUUUAAGAGUUCAUAUCGACAAUAGGGUUUACGACCUCGAUGUUGGAUCAGGACAUCCUAAUGGUGCAGCAGCUAUUAAAGGUUCGUUUGUUCAACGAUUAAAGUCCUACGUGAUCUGAGUUCAGACCGGAGUAAUCCAGGUCGGUUUCUAUCUAUUAACUAAUUUUUCCCAGUACGAAAGGACAAGAAAAAUAAGGCCAACUUUAACACGAAGCGCCUUUAGACUAACGGAUGAUAUAAUCUUAAUCCGACCAGUCUAUACCCAAUCCAACCCUAGAAAUAGGGUUU